CAGUGGCAGCCGGAAGUCAGGGUGGAUUGCGCAGGCGGGAUAGGGGGUUUUGCUAGAGUGGCCUAGUCCUAGCAGGCGUCCUGCGUCUUCCAGACUAAUGCUUUAUUAGCGGGAAAAAAAAUUAUGAAUGAAGCGAGAGAGAACAAUGAGCGCAGGAAGUUUUCUGGCUGCCAAUUAAAGCUGAGAAGGUCAAAAGAGACGGAGGGAAGCAAAAUUCAUGCCACUUCUUCACAACACAAUCAGUGUCAUCCUCAUUUUACAGAACCCAGAGCGAGGAGGAGGCGUCAGUGUAUUCCACAGUCUCUCCUCCAGCAGAACACAGCAGGCUGGCCUUAUUUUAGGGUCACUGAACCCGGGAACUUCUCCAUUCUGCUUCUCAUCUCUAUGAAGCACGGGAAGGGGCACCUAUGGCGGCGGCCCGGGCGCACACUGGGGAGAAAGGAGUUAAAGCCAGGUCCCAGGAUAACCGGGAGCGGGAAGUUCCGGUGGCCCAAGCUGGAGUGGAAUGGGCAGACCGCUAGGAAGAGCGGUUUGGGACGGAAGGGGGCGUAGGUGCCAGCCAUGCUAAUCCGCGCUUCACCCCCAUCAGGGCUCGGCAUCCACUGGUAAGCCGCACCCCCCGCCCCCAGCCCCAAGGCCGGUUUCUCCUCUCCCCUCAGAGCGGGCCGCCCUCACCCCGGGCCAGACCGAGGCCAGCGCCGAGCCCCGUCUAGAGCCAGGAGGGGCGUGCCUCCCUCCGGCCGCCCUCCCAUUGUCUGUGCGGAGCCGCCGGAGGGGCUGCGAGGGGCGGGGC